rnacentral:rRNA from 1 species
GCAGCCAUGCCGCGUGUAUGAAGAAGGCCUUCGGGUUGUAAAGUACUUUCAGCGGGGAGGAAGGCGGUGAGGUUAAUAACCUUGCCGAUUGACGUUACCCGCAGAAGAAGCACCGGCUAACUCCGUGCCAGCAGCCGCGGUAAUACGGAGGGUGCAAGCGUUAAUCGGAAUUACUGGGCGUAAAGCGCACGCAGGCGGUCUGUUAAGUCAGAUGUGAAAUCCCCGGGCUUAACCUGGGAACUGCAUUUGAAACUGGCAGGCUUGAGUCUCGUAGAGGGGGGUAGAAUUCCAGGUGUAGCGGUGAAAUGCGUAGAGAUCUGGAGGAAUACCGGUGGCGAAGGCGGCCCCCUGGACGAAGACUGACGCUCAGGUGCGAAAGCGUGGGGAGCAAACAGGA